CAUUAAAAUGUAUUAAUCAAAUAAUAAUUAUAACACUUGUCUUACAGGAUGUAUUUUGUCGAAUAUAUUCAGACUCUGAUGCACCGAUAUCAGUUAUUACAAAGAUCUUAUUAGAAAUUGACUCUUAAAAAGUUUAAAAAUAUACCCGAUGAAUUUGGAAAAUUAGGGUUUACCAAAGUGAAAGAUUUGGAUCGAGCGGCCCUUGGAAAAGCCAGCUCGAUGAAAUUGUCAGGAAAUACCCUAACGCACCUUCAUGAAGCUAUGAAGCUAUGAAGAUAUAUAGUGAACGCCCAGAUACAGACAUGCAAUAACAAUAAGGCGGGACUUUGAUACAUAUUGUGAUAUGGGGGCAAUAUUUAAAGAAUGUGGCCGUCUCAAACAAGCCAAAGCAUAUUACAAAGCAGCAAUCAAGUUUAUUCUUCCGAACGACCAUAUCAAUGCUCGAUUGAAUUUGAACGAUGUUAUGCAACAAAUGGAUCUUAAUAAUGCUAUGACAGACAAUGAAAAUCAAUAGAAUAUGACAAUACAAAUGUCAAGUGGAUGUAAUUCAAUAUUCUACAUCUUUAAAUGACAAUAUUCCAUUCUGGUUGAAUAACUUUGAACACCAUAAUGAUUUGAUGCAAACCAAUUUUUUUGAUGCUGUUAAAGUUUUUAAGUUAAAGCUGUUAAAGUUUAGUGACAUCUGUAUAUUAGUUGACAUGAGUGGUUAUACAAAGGGUGCCCAAACUGAAAUAUUUGCUUUGAGACCGGCACCAAUACAAGUUUCAUGGAUUGGUUAUCUUGGUACCAGUGGUGCAAUAUUCAUGGUUUACUUCAUUACAUAUAAUAUAUGCUCUCCUCGAGAACUUCAAAAUUUAUAUACUUUUACAAAUAAUACUAUUUUUGUUGUUGCCCACAAACGGAAGUUUUCUAAUUUACGACAACAUUUAUGUGUUGAAGAAGAACUGGAAAGAUGAUCUUUCAACUUACCAGAAAAUGUUGAUGUUUUUUUUUUUUUAAUUUUAAUUUACAACAAAAUAACUAAAAUU